rnacentral:piRNA from 1 species
UGUCCAUCAAAGAACAAGCAAGGGUGU